UGAAGAUUUGUGUGCUUCAUUUAGUCGCAUAAAGAAAGUUCAACUUUCUUGCAUAUUGGAUACAAUUAGAAUUUUGUUAAAAGUGCAUUUAUCUAGAUUGUCUAUGAUAUUUUUCAUUCCUUCCCUAGUUGAUUUCGUUUCUACUGACAAUGCCUUUUUUUGAGGUUCUGCAGAUUCUCUGGAGGCUCCAGGGAGUAAAACCAUGGAAUCAAAUCAUAUAGCGAAUGAAUUAAAUAAAGUCAUUGCUGGAGUACCCUCCAGAGAAUUUGAUAAUAAACCUCUUUCACAAUGGAUUAAAGAAAUACAGACUCCAAAUGCUGUUUUGGCAAAGCACCAAGUAUCUUCAAGGUGGGAGGCUUUUUCCUAUAUGAAAGAUGCAGGCCAAGAAGAAAGUAACGAGAAGGAUUUUUUAGAGCUAGUCGUUUAUAC
rnacentral:lncRNA from 1 species